UACGUAGGGGGCGAGCGUUGUUCGGAAUCACUGGGCGUAAAGGGCGCGUAGGCGGCCGCUCAAGUCGGGGGUGAAAGCCUGUGGCUUAACCACAGAAUUGCCUUCGAUACUGUUUGGCUUGAGACCGGAAGAGGUGAGUGGAACUGCGAGUGUAGAGGUGAAAUUCGUAGAUAUUCGCAAGAACACCAGUGGCGAAGGCGGCUCACUGGUCCGGUUCUGACGCUGAGGCGCGAAAGCGUGGGGAGCAAACAGG
rnacentral:rRNA from 1 species